rnacentral:rRNA from 1 species
UUGAACGCUGGCGGCAUGCUUUACACAUGCAAGUCGAACGGCAGCACGGGGGCACCCUGGUGGCGAGUGGCGAACGGGUGAGUAAUGCAUCGGAACGUGUCUUUAAGUGGGGGAUAACGCAUCGAAAGGUGUGCUAAUACCGCAUAAUCUCUGAGGAGAAAAGCAGGGGAUCGUAAGACCUUGCGCUUUUAGAGCGGCCGAUGUCUGAUUAGCUAGUUGGUGAGGUAAAGGCUCACCAAGGCUCCGAUCAGUAGCUGGUCUGAGAGGACGACCAGCCACACUGGGACUGAGACACGGCCCAGACUCCUACGGGAGGCAGCAGUGGGGAAUUUUGGACAAUGGGGGCAACCCUGAUCCAGCCAUGCCGCGUGAGUGAAGAAGGCCUUCGGGUUGUAAAGCUCUUUCAGCCGGAAAGAAAUCGUACAGACUAAUACUCUGUAUGGAUGACGGUACCGGAAGAAGAAGCACCGGCUAACUACGUGC